AAAUUCACAUCAUCUUAAACCAUGAUCUUCUCAUCAGCUCUUUUACUGCUGACAGCAGCUGCAUCCUGUGGUGUUUUCUGUGUUGAGCUCACUCAACCUUCAUCUCUGGUUGUGAAACCUCAAGAAUCAUUCUCCAUCUCCUGCAGGAUUUCACAAUCAAGCUAUUGCAUUGGCUGGAUCCGUCAACCUGCUGGAAAAGCACUGGAAUGGCUCGGAUAUCUUUGUAGUGGUGGUGGCACUAACAUUAAAGACUCUGUGAAAAACAAGAUCAGUUUCACACAGGACACGUCCAAAAACACAGUGUUUCUACAGGGAAAUAAUUUCCAGACUGAGGACACAGCUGUGUAUUACUGUGCAACAGUCUCACAGUGA